rnacentral:lncRNA from 1 species
AACGAGCUCCAGCCCCACAAUGCCAGGCUCUCUCGCAGAAUACACAUUAACCCACUCAAAGAUGGAGGGAGGGAAUAUGGAGGUCAUGAACAGAACACAGAGCUGGCAGCCAUCUCCUCUAGAGAAGCGGAGGGAAGAGAGAGAAGAGAGAGAAGAGAGGGAAGAGGGACUAAAGGAUGGCAGGGAGUGCGUGUUCCCACCAAUCAACCUUCCCCAGAGCCAGAGGAGAGAGAAGGACGACCCUGCCGUGCUCACGCUGUAUGAGCAGCAGAGAAAGCUUGAGGACAACAGGUGCCUACUAGCUGAGUUGGCACGCAUUGAGCAGGAGCUACGAGAGAGUCUACAGAGGGAGGAGGAGAAGCAGAGGAUUCGUGACCAGAUCCGCCAGGAGGAGAACCGUCUGAAGUGGAAGAGUCUCACCUUCCUCAGCCUCAACCAGAGAACGGCAAAGCCAUUUGUGAACAGCUACUUCAAGAACAUUCCCAUGCACAUCUAUUGUCUUCCCAUCACGUCUCAGGCCAACAAAAACAACAACAGGAAGAGGAAGAAGUGGAAGAAAUGAGAAGAGUGGCAGGGAGGAAGAAUAUGGAGAUUAUGGUUUUGAGGUUUUGUAAAUGGUUCUGUUUACGUAAAAAGAAAAAUGAUGGAAAUAUGUCAUGGCUUAACUAACGUUUAACUGACUUCGAAAUGGACACUAUUUGGAUACUAUUGGUCUAUAUUUUGUGAUUAUUUUCUGUUUAAAUGCAGUGGUGCCUGCAAUAUGACCGCAACAAUAUCUUCAGGAAGGAGAGAAAAUGUGAUUUUGAGCAACAUUUUUAAAAACCUUGAAGUGAUUUUUGGAAGCAGGGUUGCACAUUUUUUCCUCACAUGUGAUAAAUGAAAUGACUGUUGUUUUUUGUACAUUUGGAAAUGAUUCAAAGAACAUUCAUAAAGACUUUUGCUC